rnacentral:rRNA from 1 species
GAUCAUGGCUCAGGAUGAACGCUGGCGGCGUGCUUAACACAUGCAAGUCGAACGGAACUACUUUGAUGUAGGAUUCUUCGGAAGGAUUUGAUUUAGUUUAGUGGCGGACGGGUGAGUAACGCGUGGGUAACCUGCCUCAUACAGGGGGAGUAACAGUUGGAAACGGCUGUUAAUACCGCAUAAGCGCACAGUACCGCAUGGUACCGUGUGAAAAACUCCGGUGGUAAUGAGAUGGACCCGCGUCUGAUUAG